rnacentral:lncRNA from 1 species
GGGUAUGUGAAUCAAAUUAAGAAAACACCUAGAAGGAUGAGUUUUGAUGAAGAUAUCAAUAGGUUGCUCUUGAGAAGCAAUCUAUAGAAGAUGAACCAUUUCAUCGAGAAUAUAUUGAUGAAUGAAGUAACAAUCGAUCUCGAUAUGUUUGAUCCAUUCAUAGAAUAUAUUGUUAUGAGCAAUCUGUAUAACACUCUAAUUAUC